GAUGAACGCUGGCGGCGUGCUUAACACAUGCAAGUCGAACGAUGAAGCCCAGUUUGCUGGGUGAUUAGUGGCGAACGGGUGAGUAACACGUGAGUAACCUGCCCUUAACUCUGGGAUAAGCCUGGGAAACUGGGUCUAAUACCGGAUAGGAGCGCCUACCGCAUGGUGGGUGUUGGAAAGAUUUAUCGGUUUUGGAUGGACUCGCGGCCUAUCAGCUUGUUGGUGAGGUAAUGGCUCACCAAGGCGACGACGGGUAGCCGGCCUGAGAGGGUGACCGGCCACACUGGGACUGAGACACGGCCCAGACUCCUACGGGAGGCAGCAGUGGGGAAUAUUGCACAAUGGGCGAAAGCCUGAUGCAGCGACGCCGCGUGAGGGAUGACGGCCUUCGGGUUGUAAACCUCUUUCAGUAGGGAAGAAGCGAAAGUGACGGUACCUGCAGAAGAAGCACCGGCUAACUACGUG
rnacentral:rRNA from 1 species